UACUAUCUCUCUAUUCCCCUUCUUUCUCCCCUUCAAAUCUCAACUUUAAAAGCCAGUGUGAAGAAACUACCCUGUUUGUUCGAUAUUUUGAAUUUUCCCCGUUCGUUAGUUGAAACUACCGAACAACGACCACCCCCCUGGCUCAUUAACUUCAAAGGAAACGGUGAAUUAAGUGCUCUCUCUUUGUGGCCAUUUUGUCGCACGAACAGAUGCAGCGGGACUUGGUUGUCGAGUGUCUGGAACUAAAAUUGGACAUUCGACUUCCCGAACGCCGGUCAAACUUCGCAAACGCCUGCUUCUGUUCACCGACCAGCCAGGAGAGCACUGUUCGGUAGGUUUGUUCCCACAAACUAGGGGAACAAACGCUACCUAUAAGCCAGGGAAACAGUUUGUGGAUUUGUUCGGUUUUUGGACUUCCCGAAAGAGACCGACCACACAGCCUGAUUUCAUGGAACGCUAUCUGGGCAGAAGCCUUGUGUGCGGUCGGUCAAAUUAUGACUUCCAUGGAACUCCUAAACCCCGAACUGAUGUGGGUGAUUUUUGGAUAUGUUGGUCC